CAUGUAUCUUUCAUAUUUUUAUGUCUUCCAUUGUGUACUAAUGAGAAACUCACUCAUUAUUUGUUCAAUAGAUGAAUGAAGUAUACUAGUUUAUGAUUACUAAAUAAUUGGGAUAUUUAUGCCUAAGCCAGAAAUCAAGUUUUUGGUUUACUGCUUCAACCUGUAAUCAUUGCAUGCAUAUCCCUUCAGUAUACAGAUGAACAUUAAGGCAGUGUUUCUCAGCCUUUUCCUAUAAAGUGCUCGUAUUGGCUACAGCAGGAAAGGAGAAUGAUAGCAUAUCAUCAUAGGGCUGGGGCAGAGCUUGCAGGGCCUGGUCCAACAGGAAAUUUACCUUGAAGUUCCAAGUUUUAUUGUAAAAAUUUAUGCAUUUUUGCAUCCUAGUCUAUUAUAUAUCUGAGCUUCUUGUAUUGUCAAAGCACGGUUUUUAAAUUGUCUUUUUCUCCUCAAAAGGAAGAACUUUGUCUCAUUUCAUAUUGAAUCCCUAAUGCUUAAAACCGUGUGCAGCAUAUAAUAACUACACAAUGAUUAUUUAGUAAAUGAGUUUUAGCAAAAUUGAUGCUUCAGGAAACAGUUGAUUAAUGGUUGCCAGGAACUGUAAGGAGUCAAUGCUAAUGAGUACAGGGUUUCUUUUCGGAUAAUGAAAUUUUUCUAGAAUUACGGAAUAGUGAUAGUUGCAUAACCUUCAGAAUACACUAAAUAAAAACCACUGACAUGUUCACUUUAAAAGGGUGAAUUUUAUAGUAUGUAAAUUUUGUCUCCGUUUUUAAAAAUGAAAAAAAAAACUAGGAAAGGAAGAAAUGAAACCAUUAUUCCCAGACAAUAUGAUUGUGUGUAUAGAAAACAAAAAAGGUUAUAUAAAUAAAUGAUCAUAAUAAAUAGGUGAAUUUAGAAAAUCUCAGGAUAUGGUCAGGGAUGGUGGCUUAUGCCUGUAAUCCUAGUACUUUGGGAGGCCAAGGUGGGUGGAUCAUUUGAGCUCAGGAGUUCAAGAUCAGCCUAUGCAACAUAGUGAGACCCUAUCUCUACAAAAAAUGGAAAAAUUAGCCAGGCAUGGUGGCAUGUACCUAUGGUCACAGCUUCUUGGAAAGCUGAGGCAGGAGGGUCAGUUGAGCAAUUGAGCCCAAGAGGUGGAGGCUGCAGUAAACUGUGAUCGUGCUAUUGCACUCCACCUUAGGUGACAGAGUGAGACCUUGUCUCAAAAAAAGAAAGAAAGAAAAUCUUAGGAUGCAGGGUCAAAAUGGAAAAUAAGUUCUGUUUUUCUCUUAACAACAGAAAAUCCAGAAAUACAACUUUUGAAAUUGUACAGUUUGUAUAAUAAUGGUAUAUACAGCCCUUUUGGCUCUCUGAGCAGCACCAUGGUGGUUGGCAAGAACAAGCGCCUUACGAAAGGCGGCAAAAAGGGAGCCAAGAAGAAAGUGGUUGAUCCAUUUUCUAAGAAAGAUUGGUAUGAUGUGAAAGCACCCGCUAUGUUCAAUAUAAGAAAUAUUGGAAAGACACUAGUCACCAGGACCCAAGGAACCAAAAUUGCAUCUGAUGGCCUCAAGGGUCGAGUGUUUCAAGUUAGUCUUGCUGAUUUGCAGAAUGACAAAGUUGCAUUUAGGAAAUUGAAGCUGAUUACCGAAGAUGUUCAGGGCAAAAACUACCUGACCAACUUCCAUGGCAUGGAUCUUACCCAUGACUAAAUGUGUUCCAUGGUCAAAAAAUGGCAGACAAUGAUUGAAGCUCUUGUUGAUGUCAAGACUACCAAUGGUUAAUUUGCUUCGUCUUCUCUGUGUUGGUUUUACUACGAAGCACAACAAUCAGAUACGGAAGACAUCUUCUGCUCAGCACCAACAGGUCUGCCAAAUCCGGAAGAAGAUAGAAAUCAUGACCCGAGAGGUGCAGACAAAUGACUUGAAAGAAGUGGUCGGUAAAUGGAUUCCAGACAGCAUUGAAAAGACAGAAAAGGCUUGCUCAUCUAUUUAUCCUUUCCAUGUUGUCUUUGUUAGAAAAGUAAAAAUGCUGAAGAAGCCCGAGUUUGAAUUGGGAAAACUCAUGGAGCUUCAUGGUGAAGGCAGUAGUUCUGGAAAAGCCACUGCAGAUGAGACAGAGGUUUGGCCAUAGGCUGAAAGAACAACUUCUCUGUAUCUGCCAUCCCCCUGGCAAGAUGAGCCACACAAACAUCAGGACUCAGCACUGUUCACAUGGUUGAAGAAUUCCACCUUUGGCAGAGGGCUGGAAGCUGUUUGGAUAGUACCUGGACAUUGCUUAGAAUUGCAUUUGAUAGAGAAUAAAAGGAGUGUAAAACUCUGA